rnacentral:rRNA from 1 species
AUAACAAUACAGGACUCUUUAGAGGCCCUGUAAUUGUAAUGAGUCCACUUGAAAACCUUUAACUAUGAUCAAUUGGAGGGCAAGUCUCGUGCAAAGCAACUGACCCGUGCGUGCUGCAG